rnacentral:rRNA from 1 species
GACGACGCUGGGCGGCGUGGAUUAGGCAUGCAAGUCGAACGGUAUCAUCCUUCGGGGGUGAGAGAGUGGCGAACUGGUGAGUAACACGUAGGUUAUCUACCCUCAAGACGGGGACAACCCAGGGAAACUUGGGCUAAUACCGGAUGUGAGCAACUUUUAGUGUUUGAAAGGUGGCGUAAGCUGUCGCUUGGGGAUGAGCCUGCGUCCUAUUAGUUAGUUGGUGAGGUAACGGCUCACCUAGGCAAUGAUAGGUAGGCGGCCUUAACGGGUGGUCGCCCACACUGGGAUUGAGAUACGGCCCAGACUCCUACGGGAGGCAGCAGUCGAGAAUAGUCUACAAUGGUCGGAAGACUGAUAGUGCGACGCCGCGUGAACGAUGAAUCCCUUCGGGGUGUAAAGUUCUUUUAUAUGUGAGCAGUGCUUCUUAUAUUAACAGUAUGGGGAGAGAGAUAUUAGCAUAUGAAUAAGCAACGGCUAACUCCGUG